UGUAGCACCCCUGGAGCCAAUCCUGGAGGGCAUCCAGGGGCCUCCUUCCCUUUUACUGUGUCCCUAAAAUGGACAUGCUGGUCUGUCUCCAGUGCCCCUCAACCUGCUAAGACCAGAUUCCUGAAGGCUUGAAGUUCUUGAGAGGGAAGCACAGCAUAGAACAAACAAGCCAAACAACACUGAAGACUGAGUGUCUGCAAGGAAUUCCUUUCACCUGAGCCUCAGCUGGGGCACGCCUGUGGACUCCUGGUCACUUUCUGCCCUCCUAUCACCCAGGGAGAAGCUUCUUCCUUCUAGGUCGACAUAUGUGGUGUAGUUGGCAGGAUCCAGAGCUACUCCCCCCAGCCCUCCAGGGUUUCUCUCUGAAAGCCCUGCUUGGCACCAGCAGGAACCCAUCGCAUUCUCUCUGCCUUCAGAAGUUCCAACGGGUAUUUCAGAAAUGCCUCUUAUUAAAGACCAGCUUGCCUGCAUCAGCUGUAGAAGCCCAGCCCCUCUGUAGUGCCACCUCCUAGAAUGGACACAGCUGUUUGACCAAAUGCUUCUACUCUUAGGACUAAGAGACUGAUUCAAGAAGAUAUGGGACAACAUAUUUAUUUAUUUUUCUUUUCUGCUUAUCCCAAUUUGUUUUUUCCCCUUCUUUGCCUUCUUUUCCUCUAACCCAAAUCUCUCCAUAAUCACUGAUUCAGCUGUUGAUAAUGUGAAAUUCUAGGGAAGUUCCAAACAGGAGGAUUGAAGGAGCGCAGGGAACUUGGCCCCAAAAUAUGGCUCCCUGGUAUGAGUAUUUUCAAUUAAAGUCCCUCAAGAUCAACAGAAGCUGGAAGAGUCCUCUCCCUUAUCUACAUGAAGACCCUGCAGACCCACCAAAGAGAACAAUUACUUUUCCUUCUCCUCCCUCUUAUCUCAUUAUCUAUUGCAGAAAAGAAAACCAACACGUGACCACACCUGAACAGACGCUUUCAAAAAAAUAAUCCAUUUCUCCAGCUUAUUAAAUUUUCAAAGAGAACCAUUUACGAAUAACUCUCUGUUUCUUGACCCAUUCAUUCUCCUUAAUAA
rnacentral:lncRNA from 10 species